GGGCCCAUGGCGCAGCCUGGAAGCGCGUUGGUCUUAUAAACCAAAGGUCGUGAGUUCAAAUCUCACUGGGCCCA
rnacentral:tRNA from 1 species